UUAACAAGUUUUAAUCCAGUUCACCGAGCUUGGGGUGAAUUUUGGUUGAAGAAUGUGAGGGUUGUAGGUAACAAUUCGGAGAUUCAGCUUGAUAAUGCGUACGCGGUCCGGUUGUUGGUUGAAGGGAAGUAUAUUAAUCUGGGGUAUUGGUUACAAAAAGAUCUUCAUGAGAUAGCCAAUCAUCCGAACCCGACCUUUACUUUGGGACAUUGUAAUCUCAUCGCUGCUUUGUGUAGGGCGAAUAAUGUUCCCAUGAAUGUGCAAGAAGGUGAUCUUCAUCCCGUCCGACCACUGUCUUUAUCUUACUUCAUCAAAAAGUUUGAGAGAGGUCCUAUUGUGCC
rnacentral:lncRNA from 1 species